UUCCAGUUAAUGAACAAAGCACCAUAAGCUCGUAGUCGUCGCAAGUAUUACAUGGUGCAUUGUUGAAUAAACAGCAUACCAAUUCUCGAACCACAUUGAAAAGCACCUAUUUCUUUCACAAAGUUUAUUCGAAACAAGAAACUUGGGAGUAUAUAUACCCCGAUUACAGUUAAAAGCCUAUAAAUUUGAUAGCUCAAAUUCUUCUGCUACAUCAACAACAGAGGACAACAACGUACUACCAGAGUUUCUCGCCGAACAAUUAGCCCGAAUCUCCCCGUUUGUUCCUGUCACCACAUCCAUCUGUCCCAUCUUCAACAUGGCAAUCACAAAUUUCUCAAAAAACAAGGUCUGGUUAACUGCAAAACUCGUAACAAUGCCACGGGUCCUACUAUCCGUAUACAAAUCCUGGUCCGAUGUAAAAAGUCCUUGUCGGUUCAUGAGGUCAACAUAGUACUUGUUGUCAAACACGUUUGGAGUCCGAAUAUCUUGGUCUGUUGUUCCAUCAACUGAUGCAUUUUGGGGGCAUAUGUUUUUGAGGUCUUUGGCGAAGGUUUGGUCCAUGGUAGCGUCUUGUGGGUAGAGGCGGCUUGUGAAGGAACUGCAGUGAGCUUUGCCGAUUGUGUGUGCCCCGGAGAGUGCAACAGUAUCAGUGGCAUCGAGUUUCUUCUUGGCCAGAGAGGAAAGGAUAGAACUAGCAUUAGCAAAUGGAGGAGGAAGGUUGGCUAGUGUGGCGUUUCUUGUCGCAAAGGUUUGUCCGUCACGCCUUCCCAGUGGCACUUUGUAGUCUGGACCACCGGACUAAAGAAAAGUGAGCAUAUAAGUAUUGUUAGAAUCACAUUUGCUUAGACAUUAAAGGUGAAAAUAGUUAAGCAUUAGUAUAUGUACCAAAACAAUUGCAUCACGGGCAGUAAGAGCGACGAUAUCAGCGCAGGAAACAAUAGCACCGCAUCGCUUGUGGACUUGUCGGUGAAUAUUGUCAAUAAUUUCGAACGCCUUUGCCCUCAGACUCAGGUUUGGUGGCGCAUCCUGCUCGCCUGGUCCACUAGCUGAUCCAUCAAGUAACACUGAAGCAUCACAUCCCUGCAACAUAAGAGUUCAAUAUUUACAACAAAAUCAAUUUUUCAGAGCACGAAAAGAAAUAUAACACUUGUUCUAGUACAAAACUUAAUAGCCGAAUCAACUCAUACUAAGAAAGAUAUACCCUGAGUGGGUGUCAACCAAAGUCGCACACCUCACAAAGAUAAAGAAGAUUCGCAUUGGAUUUAAGCAGCCAUAUAAUUCUAUUAGUAGAGUUUGGAGUUAAUGGGUGUUGUGCGACCAUACAAGUAUAUAACGGUUGUUUUAGUCUAACAUUAACUAAGGGACUGUGCAUAAUAUAUAAGAUGGUACCUGGACAAAGCAAUCGUGGAAGUGCAAACGAAGUAAGCCAGCAGCCUGGCCUAUGUCUGCCUUGAAGUCUUUUUCGAGUUGCUUUCUGACAAUGGACUCUAACUUCGGGCAGCUAGUAUCGAAAAAAGUCAAGGAAAGACCCUUGGCUAUGGCUGGAGUGCCUUGUGCUUCUGAGACAGACAAGCAGGAGAGUAGUAGUAAUAAAAGGCAUGAGCACAGAAAUGGAAUAGAGUCUGAAGAUCUAUUAGAAGCCAUUGCUGUUUACUUACUAAUUAUGAACCUGAAAUGUCCUAGUCUCCAAGGGGGAGUUUAUAUAGAUUAAAACAAGAUCCUUUGUAGGAUAAAACUAGGCCUGGCAAUUUGACACGUAACACGCUAACACGAAACGAAACGACACGAAAAAAAUGGAUACGGGUUUUGAUUUUCGAUACACGAAACACGAAAGUACACGAACACGAAAUUACACGAUAGAUUUCGUGUCGGAUAUGGGUUUUCAUUUGGGGUACACGAAAUACACGAAAGUACACGAAAUAUUUGUAGAUUAUAUUUA